rnacentral:rRNA from 1 species
CCUGGCGGCACUAGCGCGGUGGUCCCACCUGACCCCAUGCCGAACUCAGAAGUGAAACGCCGUAGCGCCGAUGGUAGUGUGGGGUCUCCCCAUGUGAGAGGGAACUGCCAGGC